rnacentral:rRNA from 1 species
AUACGGAGGAUCCGAGCGUUAUCCGGAUUUAUUGGGUUUAAAGGGUGCGCAGGCGGGAUGUUAAGUCGGCGGUGAAAUUUUGCAGCCCACUUGUAAAAGGGCCUUCGAAAUUGGCUUUCUUGGUUGUGGAUGAAGAAGGGGGAAUUUGGGGGGUAGCGGGGAAAUGCUUAAAUAUCACGAGGAACUCCGAUUGCGCAGGCAGCUUACUAAACCACUACUGACGCUCAUGCACGAAGGCGUGGGGAUCAAACAGGAUUAGAUACCCUGGUAGUCCACGCAGUAAACGAUGAUUACUAGUUGUUUGCGAUACAAUGUAAGCGACUGUGCGAAAGCGUUAAGUAAUCCACCUGGGGAGUACGUUCGCAAGAAUGAAACUCAAAUGAAUUGACGGGG